UACGUAGGGGGCAAGCGUUGUCCGGAUUUAUUGGGCGUAAAGAGCGUGUAGGCGGCUUGGUAGGUCUUGCGUCAAAACCUGAGGCUCAACCUCAGUUCGCGUGGGAACCAUCUAGCUAGAGCCGGAAGAGGAGAACGGAAUUCCCAGUGUAGCGGUGAAAUGCGCAGAUAUUGGGAAGAACACCAGUGGCGAAGGCGGUUCUCUGGGACGGUACUGACGCUGAGACGCGAAAGCGUGGGGAGCGAACAGGG
rnacentral:rRNA from 1 species